UACGUAGGGCGCAAGCGUUGUCCGGAAUUAUUGGGCGUAAAGAGCUCGUAGGCGGUUUGUCGCGUCUGUCGUGAAAGCUUGGGGCUUAACCCCAAGUCUGCGGUGGAUACGGGCAGACUAGAGGCAGGUAGGGGAGAUCGGAAUUCCUGGUGUAGCGGUGAAAUGCGCAGAUAUCAGGAGGAACACCGGUGGCGAAGGCGGAUCUCUGGGCCUUACCUGACGCUGAGGAGCGAAAGCAUGGGGAGCAAACAGG
rnacentral:rRNA from 1 species